GUUCAUUAACAUGUUAAGAUGCUAUGUGUAUUUUUCUGGAAUUUUAUGUGGCAUUUUCAAAUUGAUUGGUAUUUUUCAUCUCUGUUGGUCAAAUGUGCAAGCUUGUGUGACAUAGAUUGGGAAUAUCUUUGUGAAAUGAUCAUAUGGUAUUGAAUGAACAUGAAAUUUGGCAUGCUGGUUAUAGACACAUGAUAGGACAUGAUGCUUUUG
rnacentral:lncRNA from 1 species